CCUCUGGCUGUGACCCCUCAAACGGACAUGUUUCUUCCUUGGUGCCCAAGCGCUUGGAGGUCAAAAUUUUAUGUUUGACCUUGCAGGAGAAUCAGACGGCUACAUUGCUGCCACGCUGUCACGUAACACACAGGGAGUCAAUGACACAACCUACAUCUGUGCAAAUAACAAUGGUGUAGUCAAAUUCUUCAGUGCUCUUCUGAACAACGGCAAGCUGACUCGCACACCGCUUAAAGUCAACAAUGUGAGGGGCAA